AGCGAACGCUGGCGGCAGGCUUAACACAUGCAAGUCGAACGGUCCUACGGGAUAGUGGCGGACGGGUGAGUAACACGUGGGAACGUACCCUUAGGUUCGGAACAACACAGGGAAACUUGUGCUAAUACCGGAUAAGCCCUUCGGGGGAAAGAUUUAUCGCCUUUGGAGCGGCCCGCGUCUGAUUAGCUUGUUGGUGAGGUAAUGGCUCACCAAGGCUACGAUCAGUAGCUGGUCUGAGAGGAUGGCCAGCCACACUGGGACUGAGACACGGCCCAGACUCCUACGGGAGGCAGCAGUGGGGAAUCUUGCGCAAUGGGCGAAAGCCUGACGCAGCCAUGCCGCGUGGAUGAUGAAGGUCUUAGGAUUGUAAAAUCCCUUCACCGGGGACGAUAAUGACGGUACCCGGAGAAGAAGCCCCGGCUAACUUCGUGCCAGCAGCCGCCGUAA
rnacentral:rRNA from 1 species